GUGAGAGUCAAUCUUCUAAACCACUUCCGCCCUAACCUAGUUGCCAUGGUAACAGGGCCUCCCGCGGAGGGCGGGGACCAGCUUGGCACCAAGGAGUCGGGGGAUGGAUGGUCUGUCUUGCCCGAGUGUUCGCAUCCACUUACCAAAAGGCCGUGCGUUAUGGUUGAGAAGGGAGCCGCCACCGUGAGAGCACGGAGACCGGAGAUCCAUCGAGCAGCUCUUCAACGAUGGACUCAAGACCCACAAAUCCACGCCCCUUCUAGCUUCUAGUACUAGCGUUUACCACACACAAACUGCCACUUUGCCUCUCUGAACACAAACAUGUGCGCGUGAAUUCCUCAACCAGAGGACCUUGUCUGAUUCCUCCCUGGAUCCAUAUUGCCUGCAGAGAGUAAGGAAAUGAACGUGAAGCUCUGACUCAUUCAUUUUGCAGGAUAUUAAUUUCCCCCUCCCCUUAGAGUGUGAAUUUCUCCACCACCUGGACGGAUAUAGCAGAAAGAACACAGUGUUCAGAGAGGCAGACACAACACGAAGCAGGCAGUUUGGGAUUCUGACGGCCACCUUCGAGCAAUGUCACCGAGCAGGUUCAAAUGAUUUGACUAUCUGGGCUGUCAUUCAGCCUACAACAAAAGUAACAAGAAAAGAGUCUGUGGUCCAACAAGCUGGCUCAGCAGGGAAAGGUGCUUGCUGCCAAGCCUGAGGAUCUGAGUUCCAUCCCUGGACCCCACCUGGCAGAGGGAGAGAACUCAUCCCCUAGAGUUGCCCCCUGACUCGCGGGAGCACACCUGCAGCAUGGAGGAGCCCACGCACAUAAACAUCAAUACAUACAUAUAAAUGUACAAAAGAAAAAUGGGCCCACGGAGGGAACACAGAAACACUUUGUCUUCCCUCAGGGCUCCCUUCCGUCAGCUACUUUUGUUGCUUGGUUUCACUCAAGCACGCCCAGAGAACUCCUCCGCUAGGUCCCAGGAAAUCAGACCCUUCCCGAGCCAGCUCCUUGGAGAAGGGUCCAAUAAGCAAAGAGUCACGACCUGAGCUAGUACUCGUGUUUGUAUUAGUGGAAUGAAACCCAAGGACAGUGGCGCCCAGACAGACUUCGCAGUGGCGGGGACAGCUAAUCCAGGGUUCUGAAGAAGCAAUGAAAGCGAGCGGAGAGAGCAUUUCCGCAGAGGUCAUCUUCCCACAAGCCUUCAAGGGGUUCAGCGCCUCGCAGGCUGCCUGCUGGAUACCGGAAGUGCCUCCCUCACUGCAGGACCCUUCUCAGACUUCUCAGCCCGCAUCACUCAAGCCCUAGUGGGAAACGCAGCUUGCUGCCUGCAAAGUAUUAAAGAAAAUGCGGCUCAGUCAUGGCGGAUAGUGCAUCGGAAACAGCACGUGUUCAAGAAACGCGUCCGGUAAUUAUUUUCACAUACGCCGUUUUAUUCUGAAGUACUUUGUAAUGUGACCAUUUCGACAUAAAAAAAUAGUUCAAA